CACUGCUGUUAGACAUGAACUUCAUUAUUCUAUCAACCUUGCUGGCUGUCUACUCAACAGGUGGACAUGGUCAGACCCUGACUGAAUCUGAGCCUGUGGUCAUUAAUCCUGGAGGAUCUCACAGACUGACUUGCACAGCCUCUGGGUUAACAAUCAGCGGCUACUUUAUGGCUUGGAUCAGACAGGCUCCUGGGAAAGGGCUGGAAUGGAUCGCGAGCAUGCACAGCCCUGGUAAUAUCUACCACUCUCAGGCUAUUCAGGGACGGUUCACAAUCUCUAAAGAUGAUGGCAAGAGCCAGGUGUAUCUGCAAAUGAACAGCCUGAAGACUGAGGACACUGCUGUGUACUACUGUGCCCGAGAGACACAGUGAUAGAAAUGUCUGAAGAGAUGAACAAUAACUCACAGUGAAAACAAGGGCACUGAGCUGUGACUGUCUGUUAAAAAAAAAAAACGUUUUACAGUCUUAUGCCUUGCUUGCCCCACUUUGGACAGCAGGUGGCGUCAGAGAUGUAAAAUACGGGGACAUUCCCAUGAACUCAUACCCAUCAACACCACCCAAUGAAACUAUCAUUAACCUGAAAUCAGAUGAGUAGUCACCAAACAUGUUAAAUUUCUUUCAGUACAAUGAAGCUGCAAGUGAAUCAUUCGUGGCUUCACUGCAUAUUUAAAUUAGUCAGAUAAUGUAUGCAAGCAUAAUAUCACAUCAAUAAAAGUCAGUCUAUGUGCCUUGACAUAUUUCAGUAAUAAUCUAUCAAGUUGAAAUUGAUUAAAAUAAAACAUAUUCCAUGGUAGUAAAACAAAACAGACACCAAAACAAUACCUUAAACAAUGAUAACAUAUCCAGUAG